UACAGAGGUCCCAAGCGUUGUUCGGAUUCACUGGGCGUAAAGGGUGCGUAGGUGGUUGGGCAAGUCUGAUGUGAAAUCUCCGGGCUUAACCCGGAAAUGGCAUUGGAAACUGCCCGGCUAGAGUGUUGGAGGGGGGACUGGAAUUCUCGGUGUAGCAGUGAAAUGCGUAGAGAUCGGGAAGAAUACCUGUGGCGAAGGCGGCCAGCUGGGCCAGAUCCGACACUGAGGCGCGAAAGCGUGGGGAGCAAACAGG
rnacentral:rRNA from 1 species